rnacentral:rRNA from 1 species
GACGAACGCUGGCGGCGUGCCUAACACAUGCAAGUCGAGCGGGGAGGAGGAAGCUUGCUUCCGAAUCCUAGCGGCGGACGGGUGAGUAACGCGUGAGCAACCUGCCUCAAACUGGGGGAUAACGCAUCGAAAGAUGUGCUAAUACCGCGUAAGACCACAGCGCUGCAUGGCGCAGAGGUCAAAGAUUUAUCACUGAGAGGUGGGCUCGCGUCUGAUUAGAUAGUUGGUGGGGUAACGGCCUACCAAGUCGACGAUCAGUAGCCGACCUGAGAGGGUGAUCGGCCACAUUGGGACUGAGACACGGCCCAAACUCCUACGGGAGGCAGCAGUGGGGAAUAUUGGGCAAUGGGGGAAACCCUGACCCAGCAACGCCGCGUGGAGGAAGAAGGUUUUCGGAUCGUAAACUCCUGUCCUCAGGGAAGAGCAGAAGACGGUACCUGAGGAGGAAGCCCCGGCUAACUACGUG